GAUCAUGGCUCAGAUUGAACGCUGGCGGCAGGCCUAACACAUGCAAGUCGAGCGGAUGAGGGGAGCUUGCUCCCUGAUUCAGCGGCGGACGGGUGAGUAAUGCCUAGGAAUCUGCCUGGUAGUGGGGGACAACGUUUCGAAAGGAACGCUAAUACCGCAUACGUCCUACGGGAGAAAGCAGUGGACCUUCGGGCCUUGCGCUAUCAGAUGAGCCUAGGUCGGAUUAGCUAGUUGG
rnacentral:rRNA from 1 species